UCAUUUUCCUAAUUUAUAGAAAAAUGGAGAAAAAUGAAAUCCCAAUAACCCUAACACCACCGCCGCCGUCGCCACCACCACCAAGGAAGAGGCAAAGGAGAAAGACGGAAGAUGGCGAGAAGAAGAAGAAGGAUGAGAGCAAAAAAAGUUAUAGUGGUAUCUUCUUACUUUCCAAUCCCUAGUCAUUAUAAUAGUAGUAAUUCUAUUACUGUUGUUCAAAGACCUAGAAGGGAUAAUAACCCCCCUCCUGUCCCUAAUAUAUUUAACACAAAAACAACCCCUGAUUUCGGAACAUCAACACCUCCUAAACAAGAGAAUCCCAAAUCAUCAUCGUCACCAGCAGCAGCAGCAGCAUGUGUUAAGAAUAUUGAUGAUGUUAUGCUCGUUAUACUUAUGUUCCGGAGAAACCCAUCCGAUUCCCAUCUGCUAAAUCUACGCACACUUUGCCACCACACAAUAUUCAAUCACACCAGAGUAGUAAUAAUGCCUCUUCUAAUAAUAAUAAUAAUAAUAAACCCAGUUGAAUUUCAUGAUGAAUUGACUGAAUUAGCAAUAAACUGGAGGAGAAGGAGGUUUUGUAAAAAUCAGUUGAAACAACAAAUGGAAAACAGUAAUCGAUUUGUUACAAACUUAGAAUUCAAUGAGGUAGAAGAAAUCAAAACCCCAGAAAAGGAAUCGACUACAAAAACUAAGAAGAAGAGGAUCCGUAAAACACCAGCUUUUUCGCAUCCUCUUACAGCUGCUGAGAGAAAAUGUGAAGCUUACCGAAGAAAGACUCCGGAUAGUACAUGGAAACCUCCAGUUUCACCACACAAGCUACUUCAGGAGGAUCACUAUGAAGAUCCUUGGAGAGUAAUCAUCAUCUGUAUGCUCCUUAAUGUUACUUCAGGCUAGCAGUCACUGUCAAGCGGAAGCACUUGUCUUUAACUGCGCCACUUUCAGUCGCAGAAAGAUUAGUAAUGAAGUAGUCAUCACUUAGAACUUUGUUAGUGAUCAAUGAAUGAACUAUUGAAGCAAACCGUCUGCAGGCAAAAAGAGUUUUGCUUGAUUUCUUCAAACUUUGUCCCGAAGUCAAGUUUGGAGGUUGUACCACAAGAGAUAGAGGAAAUUAUUUGGACCCUAGGAAUACACGAUAGAAGAGCAAUAAUGAUUCAGCGCUUCUCUUCGGAGUAUCUGUGGAAGGACUGGACCUACAUAACCGACCUUCAUGGUGUUGGCAAGUAUGCAGCUGAUGCAUAUGCAGUAUUCUGCACAGGGAAGUGGGGUCAAGUUAAACCCAAGGAUCAUAUGCUGGCUGAAUACUGGAAAUUUCUUCAUAAAGAGUUUGGGAAAGCAGUUUCCGCUGAGGUUGGUGAUAGGAUUGCUCCCUACCCAACGCAUGGCUAGGCUAGUUAGGGAUAUGAUAUCUGUUUUGCUGAGCGACGUCCCUGCAUAUGAUGGUAUUUUGUGAACUCUAUCUUUCACUAUUUCUGCGUUUGUGUACAAUCUUGCUGGAAGCUUAUAGAGUGGGCAUUAUUACUUGUUAUUAAGCUGUACACAGAAAGAAAGAAAAAAAAAAGUAGUGAAGGGAGUAGAGAAUGAAAGUUGUGAAGGAGAUGAUUUAAAAACUACCAUGAGAGUUCUUUUGGGUGUCAGAUAUUGUAACUGGUAUCUAACUUUUUGUAACUGCGUCAAGUCCUUCCAUUUUAUUUGUACAAAAUACUGUGUAAAAAUCACUCUAUAUAAAGGUCUCUGUUUUGGUUUUUUUGAAA